CCUACAGCCCUCCGGAUGCUGCCUGGAUUUCCAUACCUGUAGCCAGUACAGCCAAGCGGACUUGAUCAGGGACACAGAUUUCCUGGCUACAGUCAUCCCCUCUUUGGACUAGAACGAGAAACAACAUUGAUUUCGGAGGGGAAUCAAUCAAGGCAGGCAAGCAAAAUGAAUUAUCAAAGUUGAAAGACAUAUUCCAGCCAGGCAAAAGCACUCAAGGAGGGUGCAAAGCAGAGCUGCUGAGAAGAGUGGCCUGGGGAGAGUGGA